UACGGAGGGAGCAAGCGUUACUCGGAAUUAUUGGGCGUAAAGAGCUCGUAGGCGGUGUGUCACGUCGGCCGUGAAAACCUGCAGCUUAACUGUGGGCGUGCGGUCGAUACGGGCAUCACUGGAGUUCGGCAGGGGAGACUGGAAUUCCUGGUGUAGCGGUGAAAUGCGCAGAUAUCAGGAGGAACACCGGUGGCGAAGGCGGGUCUCUGGGCCGAUACUGACGCUGGAGGAGCGAAAGCCGUGGGGAGCAAACAGG
rnacentral:rRNA from 1 species